rnacentral:rRNA from 1 species
ACUCAAAGGAAUAGACGGGAGCCCGCACAAGCGGUGGAGCAUGUGGUUUAAUUCGAUGCAACACGAAAAACCUUACCAGGAUUUGACAUAAAGAGAAAUUUUUUGAAAAAAAAAUGUGCUAUGGCCUCUUAUACAGGUGGUGCAUGGCUGUCGUCAGCUCGUGUCGUGAGAUGUUGGUUUAAGUACCGCAACGAGCGCAACCCUUAUUAUUAGUUAAAUAUUCUAAUAAAACUGCCGAUUAUAAAUCGGAGGAAGGUAAGGAUGACGUCAAGUCAUCAUGCCCCUUAUAUCCUGGGCUACACACGUGCUACAAUGAAUAUGACAAAAAGUUGCAAAUUUGUAAAAAUAAGCCAAUCUUAAAACAUAUUCUUAGUUCAGAUUGUAGACUGCAACUCGUCUACAUAAAGAUGGAAUCGCUAGUAAUCGCAGGUCAGCUAUACUGCGGUGAAUACGUAUCCGGGCUUUGCACACACCGCCCGU